GUUGGGUUGUGUAGAACUCUGUGUUAAUCAAAUACCCUUCUACAACAAAUAUAAGCAAUGCUUCGCCACCCACUGGUUUUAAAGCAAACCCAUUUUAGAAUCUGUGCGACUUCUUAGUGUUUAAAGACUAACAAAACAAUACAAGCAACUUUGUUGUUUUCACCCACCCAGAUCAAAUUGAAAAAUCAAGAGACUGAACUAGAGAUACAAUUUCAGUUCAAAUGAGGGGAAAAGAUUCCCAUGUCUCCUAUAUAGCCAUUUUUUGAGCAUGCUAAAAACAGAAUGAUUGGAAGAUAUAAUCACAAGUUAUUAAAACAUUUACAAACCAAAAUCUGGAUGGACUCCCAGAAGAAAGAAAUAAUCCUUUGGUUAAUAGCUUUGAAGAUUGUCCUUGGAAGCAACUUCUUUGAAUUGGUGGAGUAGCCACUCUUCCAAGAAUCACAGAAUCGUCUUCCCCUAUACAACUGCUGUUCACUUGAUCAUUUUUCCCUCUUGCCUCUCUCUACUGUCCUUCGCCUUUCCAAAGUUAUAUACAGCUAAUAAUGUAUAACCAAAGAACUUACCUUCAGAAUAAUGUUUCAAGCAGUUUUGGAGAAGACAGAGCUGCCACAGUUUUGAUCUGCAAUAAGAACACAACCUCAUUAGGAAACUGAAAGAUAUCACACAAUGAACAAUAUGCAUUUACCAUGGAAUCUGAUAUAUUUUUAUUUAAGAAUAAUAAAUCAAGAACAACAUUUGACGCUCAAAUAAUGAAGGCUUAUCAGAACUGCAAUUAAAAGCAAUCGCUUCAGUAGUAUUCUAUGAUUGUUUAUACCUUUUGCUGCCUAUACUUCAUGCCUAUAGCACUAAGAGGACACGCCAGCGCGGAGCCAAG
rnacentral:misc_RNA from 1 species